UGGGCUCAUGCUGUUACCAUUCGUCUUAUUCUUGAAUCUAGUUCAGAUUGGUUUCAUGCUUUUUCCGCACCUAUGAGGCUAUCAUUAGAGGUGGCAAUUUUGAAGAUGGAGUCGUCAUUAUACCUUGCCGGCGAUUUAUAAAGGUGGCAAAAUCUCCAAUGUCGCCACUACUGGCAUUCCCUUUGGAAGUUACUUCAUAAGGUAUAGUAUUGCUUAAUGACGUUGGAGUAGAAAUGAUAGGACCACAAAGUAACGCAAUUGAUCACCAAGUUGCCUGGUAUUUACUACGAGGACCUUUAGCCACAUUUUGUCAAAGUUUCGAUGGGUCAAUGGGGGACGAUAAUGGGUCGGUCAUCCUAAAAAGAAAAAAACCGCCAUAGCAGUACAUUCUUAGCACGGAUCCAGACAAAGAGGAC